rnacentral:rRNA from 1 species
GACGAACGCUGGCGGCGUGCUUAACACAUGCAAGUCGAACGGAAAGGCCCUGCUUUUGUGGGGUGCUCGAGUGGCGAACGGGUGAGUAACACGUGAGUAACCUGCCCUUGACUUUGGGAUAACUUCAGGAGACUGGGGCUAAUACCGGAUAGGAGCUCCUGCUGCAUGGUGGGGGGUUGGAAAGUUUCGGCGGUUGGGGAUGGACUCGCGGCUUAUCAGCUUGUUGGUGGGGUAGUGGCUUACCAAGGCUUUGACGGGUAGCCGGCCUGAGAGGGUGACCGGCCACAUUGGGACUGAGAUACGGCCCAGACUCCUACGGGAGGCAGCAGUGGGGAAUAUUGCACAAUGGGCGGAAGCCUGAUGCAGCAACGCCGCGUGCGGGAUGACGGCCUUCGGGUUGUAAACCGCUUUCGCCUGUGACGAAGCGUGAGUGACGGUAAUGGGUAAAGAAGCACCGGCUAACUACGUG